rnacentral:snRNA from 1 species
AUCGCUUCUCGGCCUUUUGGCUAAGAUCAAGUGUAGUAUCUGUUCUUAUCAGUUAAUAUCUGAUAUGUCUCCAAUGUGAGGACUAUAUAUUAAACGGAUUUUUAGCACCGGGAGCUGAAAGAGGGGCUUGCUCCUUUCACUCCACGCAUCGACCUGGCACUGCAGUGCCGCCAGGAACGGUGCACCUUCU